UUUUAUUGAGAGUUUGAUCCUGGCUCAGGAUGAAUGCUGGCGGCGUGGAUAAGGCAUGCAAGUCGAACGAAACUAGUUUGCGAUUACAUCAAGAAUUAGUUUAGUGGCGAACGAGUUAGUAUUACCUUGGUACAUACCCUCGAGUCGGGAAUAACUAGCCGAAAGGUUAGCUAAUACCCGAUGGUUCUCGUAAGAGUAAAGGAGAAAUCCGCUUGAGGAGUGGCCUCGGUCCUAUCAGCUAGUUGGCGGGGUAAUGGCCCACCAAGGCAACGACGGGUAGGGGACGUGAGAGCGUGACCCCCAACGAUGGAACUGAGAUACGGUCCAUACACCUACGGGUGGCUGCAGUCAAGAACAUUCGACAAUGGGCGAAAGCCUGAUCGAGCGACGCCGCGUGCAGGAUGAAGGCCUUCGGGUCGUAAACUGCUUUUAACUGGGAACAAGUCCGGCCCUUUUUGGGUAGAUUAUUUAUUGGCAAAAUAAAACAGGGCCUGUAAUGGCCCUAUGAAAUGGUAGCUUUUCUUGAAACAAGAAACACAAGAGCAGACAGAAGACAGGUCGCGCCCACGCCGUAAAAUAGGAAAGAGACGGCAGGCGAAACAAUGUGCGGGUUGCUCACGAGACCCAUGCCGCUUAGAACCGUAAACAGCAUUCCUAUGGCAUAAAAAGACGAUACGGGGAGAUUUGAGGUGAAAUAGUGUUUUAGGGUGGUGGGCAUCAAGAACUCCUUUGCCUUGCUUGUUUUUGGGGUCUGUCGGAAAUGCUACUAUAUUUAUUUUUAUUUGUCAAUAGAACCUAAAAAGGGCCGGAUUGAGCGUACCAGUAGAAUAAGGAGCUACAAACUACGUGCCAGCAGUCGCGGUAAUACGUAGGCUCCAAG
rnacentral:rRNA from 1 species